rnacentral:rRNA from 1 species
CGCCCAUAGCUCAUCUUGCGGGUACCGCCUGCCCACUGAUUAUUUUAACGGCCGCAGUAUUUUGACUGUGCAAAGGUAGCAUAAUCAAUUGUCCCCUAAUUAGGGGCUGGAAUGAAUGGAGUAACGAGGUGGGUGCUGUAUCAGUAACUAAAUUUAACUUAAUCUUUAAGUCAAAAAGCUUAAAUUCCAACGCAGGACGAGAAGACCCCAUAGAUCUUCAUAUAGUAAGUUUUACUAACCGUCGAAGUUUGAAUCGUAAAAUGUUAAUAUAUUUAGUUGGGGUGACACGAAGUCGUAAACACUUUUUAUUACACAAAAAUUUAAGGACAGAUGACCCGGUUAGCCGGUCAAAAAAUUAAGUUACCUUGGGGAUAACAGCGUAAUCUGUCUUUAGAGUUCUUAUCAAAUGACAGGUUUGCGA